CGGCGCGGGAGAUGGAUGCCCUCAUCCAUGGCUCCGAUCCAUCCGCCUCAAGCUCCUCACCCGUGUCCGCUAGGGAUGUUCACCUGGAAAUUCAUUUGAUCCACAUGUACUGCAUAUCAACCAGGGAGCACCGCGGCAUGGCGGCUGGACCAUGACGGAGCCAAUGUGGCCGCCAACUAGCCCUGGCCCUGGGACCUUGAUGGACCCCGGUGUCCUCGGGGCCUGGACCAUCUGCAAGCGCCACGAGUUCAACCUGAAAACAGAUUGAGCAGGAGCAGCUCGUCGGCUGGUGGCGACUGGCGACCACAAAUGGCGCUCAAGCUAGUGUUGACGCCACACCACACGCCCUUACUGCUC